rnacentral:rRNA from 1 species
GUUUAGACCGCCGUGAGGCAGGUCGGAUUCUACCUGCUGGGGGCGUCGGCCGCCUGAGGGGAGGGUGCUCCUAGUACGAGAGGAACGGAGCGCCGGGGCCAACUGGGUACCGGUCCUCCUACAGGGGGUAGCCGGGCACCUGCGCCCCAGCGAAUAAGGGCUGAAAGCAUCUAAGCCCGAAGUCGCUCCCGAGAUUAGGCGGCC